rnacentral:rRNA from 1 species
GUUUAUCAAAAACAUAACCAUAUGAUAUAAUAUAUGGCUAUUUCUGCUCAAUGCUUAAGUAAAUAGCCGCAGUACUGUGACUGUGCGAAGGUAGCAUAAUCAUUUGGCUUUUGAAUGGAGUCUAGUAUGAAGGAAAAAUUGGAAAGGUACUCUCUUCUUAACUUUUAUGAAUUUACUUAUUAAGUGCAAAAACUUUUAACUAAAAAACAGACGAGAAGACCCUAGAAAUUUUUUAACUAUUUUGUUGGGGCGACAAUGUAACAAUGUAGGAUAACUUACUAUUGUAAAUCAGCAGUGUAAUGCACGGUGAAAUCAAAUUACUCUAGGGAUAACAGCAUAAUAUUCUAAAGUUUGUGACCUCGAUGUUGGACUAGGAAAAGGUUAAGUUUAAAAGAUUUAGCCUCAGCUCUGUUCGAGCAUUUCUUUCCUACCUGAUCUGGAUUCAGACCGG